rnacentral:rRNA from 1 species
UACAGAGGUCCCAAGCGUUGUUCGGAUUUAUUGGGCGUAAAGGGUGCGUAGGCGGCGGAGUAAGUUGGGUGUGAAAUCCCGGGGCUCAACCUCGGAAUGGCAUUCAAUACUGCUUCGCUUGAGUACUGGUGAGGAGGCUGGAAUUUACGGUGUAGCAGUGAAAUGCGUAGAUAUCGUAAGGAAGGCCGGUGGCGAAAGCGAGCCUCUGGACAGUUACUGACGCUGAUGCACGAAGGCCAGGGGAGCAAACGGG